rnacentral:rRNA from 1 species
CCUACGGGAGGCAGCAGUGGGGAAUAUUGCACAAUGGGGGAAACCCUGAUGCAGCGACGCCGCGUGAGUGAAGAAGUAUCUCGGUACGUAAAGCUCUAUCAGCAGGGAAGAAAAUGACGGUACCUGACUAAGAAGCCCCGGCUAACUACGUACCAGCAGCCGCGGUAAUACGUAGGGGGCAAGCGUUAUCCGGAUGUAAUGGGUGUAAAGGGAGGGUAGACGGGAGCACAAGUCUGGAGGGAAAUCCGCGGGCUUAACCCCGGAACUGCUUUUGAAACUGUGUGCAUGGAGUGCAGGAGCGGUAUGCGGAAUGCGUGGUGUAGCGGUGAAAUGCGUAGAUAUCAGGCAGAACACCGGUGGCGAAGGCGGCUUACUGGCGCGUAACUGACGUUGAGGCACGAAAGCGUGGGGAGCAAACAGGAUUAGAUACCCUUGUAGUC